GAUGAACGCUGGCGGCGUGCUUAACACAUGCAAGUCGAACGGAAAGGCUCCUGCUUGCAGGGGUACUCGAGUGGCGAACGGGUGAGUAACACGUGGGUGAUCUGCCCUGCACUUCGGGAUAAGCCUGGGAAACUGGGUCUAAUACCGGAUAGGACCACAUUUUGGAUGGUGUGGUGGAAAGUUUUUCGGUGUGGGAUGAGCUCGCGGCCUAUCAGCUUGUUGGUGGGGUAAUGGCCUACCAAGGCGUCGACGGGUAGCCGGCCUGAGAGGGUGUACGGCCACAUUGGGACUGAGAUACGGCCCAGACUCCUACGGGAGGCAGCAGUGGGCAAUAUUGCACAAUGGGCGCAAGCCUGAUGCAGCGACGCCGCGUGGGGGAUGACGGCCUUCGGGUUGUAAACUCCUUUCGCUAGGGACGAAGCGCAAGUGACGGUACCUGGAGAAGAAGCACCGGCUAACUACGUG
rnacentral:rRNA from 1 species